rnacentral:rRNA from 1 species
GGCGUAAAGAGCUCGUAGGUGGUUUGUCGCGUUGUUCGCGAAAUCUCACGGCUUAACUGUGAGCGUGCGGGCGAUACGGGCAGACUUGAGUACUGCAGGGGAGACUGGAAUUCCUGGUGUAGCGGUGGAAUGCGCAGAUAUCAGGAGGAACACCGGUGGCGAAAGCGGGUCUCUGGGCAGUAACUGACGCUGAGGAGCGAAAGCGUGGGGAGCGAACAGGAUUAGAUACCCUGGUAGUCCACGCCGUAAACGGUGGGUACUAGGUGUGGGUUUCCUUCCUUGGGAUCCGUGCCGUAGCUAACGCAUUAAGUACCCCGCCUGGGGAGUACGGCCGCAAGGCUAAAACUCAAAGAAAUUGACGGGGGCCCGCACAAGCGGCGGAGCAUGUGGAUUAAUUCGAUGCAACGCGAAGAACCUUACCUGGGUUUGACAUGCACAGGACGCCGGCAGAGAUGCCUUUCUUCCCUUCGGGGACUGGAACACAGGUGCUGCAUGGCUGUCGUCAGCUCGUGUCGUGAGAUGUUGGGUUAAGUCCCGCAACGAGCGCAACCUUCGUCUUUAGUUACCAUCAUUCAGUUGGGUACUCUAAAGAAACCGCCGGUGAUAAGCCGGAGGAAGGUGGGGAUGACGUCAAGUCCUCAUGGCCCUUACGCGCUGGGCUACACACGUGCUACAAUGGCGACUACAGUGGGCUGCAAUCCCGCGAGGGUGAGCUAAUCUCCAAAAGUCGUCUCAGUUCGGAUUGUUCUCUGCAACUCGAGAGCAUGAAGGUGGAAUCGCUAGUAA